rnacentral:rRNA from 1 species
CCUACGGGAGGCAGCAGUGGGGAAUAUUGCACAAUGGGGGAAAGCCUGAUGCAGCGACGCCGCGUGAGGGAAGAAGGAUUUCGGAAUGUAAAGCUCUAUCAGCAGGGAAGAAAAUGACGGUACCUGAUUAAGAAGCCACGGCUAACUACGUGCCAGCAGCCGCGGUAAUACGUAGGGGGCAAGCGUUAUCCGGAUUUACUGGGUGUAAAGGGAGCGUAGACGGUUGUGUAAGUCUGGAGUGAAAGCCCGGGGCCCAACCCCGGGACUGCUUUGGAAACUGUGUAACUGGAGUACAGGAGGGGCAGGCGGAAUUGCUGGUGUAGCGGUGAAGUGCGUAGAUAUCAGGAGGAACACCAGCGGCGAAGGCGGCCUGCUGGGCUUAAACUGACGUUGAGGCUCGAAAGCGUGGGAGGCAACAGGAUU